ACAUAGCUACACUGUCUAUAGAGGUACACACACAGCUACACUGUCUAUAGAGGUACACACACAGCUACACUGUCUAUAGAGGUACACACACAGCUACACUGUCUAUAGAGGUACACACACAGCUACAUUGUCUAUAGAGGUACACACAGAGCUACACUGUCUAUAGAGGUACACACACAGCUACAUUGUCUAUAGAGGUACACACAGACUUACACUGUCUAUAGAGGUACACACAGAGCUACACUGUCUAUAGAGAUAUACACUGUUAAGAGCUACACGUCAGUUAUACAUUUACCUUGUUACUUUUGUAUUUGGCAGGUAAUUACUGUAUUUAUACACAAUACCUGACUGAAAGUAGGAGACCAGGCUUAUUACAGACAGUAUAUCUGCUGAAAGACAAUAAAUUUGGGAGAGCUUAUUGUCAGGCAUGGGCUUAUUGUCAUAAUAUAUUAUAUGGACAUAUUGCCAGACAUGGGUUUAUUGCCAGGUAUAGGCUUAUUGCCAGACAUGGGCUUAUUGCAGGGCAUGGGCUUAUUGUCAUAUAUGGGCAUAUUGCCAGAUAGUUACAGUUGUUUAAAUUUAUAUCACACAUAAAGCACUUGUUAGAGUUGAACAUUAAUAACUAAUGUUAAAGUGUUGCAUAUAUGUCCGUAUGAUUAUAAGUACAUUUAAUUUUUUUGACAAAUCUAUAACAUUUGAUAUCUUUCAUAGGAUAUUUUAGUUUCAAUAGUUUUGAGAUUCUGUAGAUUAUGAAUUAUGUGUCUAUAAAAUUCUUGUCCUGAUUAAUAUUAUGUGAAAAUGAAAAAAAAAUGCAAAGAAUACUAUAACAGAGAUUGCCUUGUGUUAUUGGUGUGAGGAGACAAGGAUGCGGUUUUUAACGAGUGUCUGAGACUUUAUCUGUGAGCGGUUUGUAUAUUUGCUUACAUGUACUGGUAAACUGUAUAAGUUAUUCAUGUCAUUAGUAAAAAUAACAAUACCAGAUUGUAAGGUACCAAGGAAUGAAUAAUAAUAGGCUGCUGGAUCAUACAAUCAUACAUGUACUCGUAUUGUUCUCACAACUGAGAUGAAGCGAGGUAUUCCACCCAUAAAUGACUGUUACAUCUGUGUAUUAGCGUGUAUACUACAUCUGUACAAGAGUGAGUGUGAUAUUCAGUUGAAAACUGUCAAUUUCACAAAUAAAAUUUGUACUUUUUUAGCCUAAUCUUUUGAAAUCAAUCCCCGUGUAAUUAACAUGAUUCACCUUUUGUUUUUAUCAUUGUAACACAUGUGGAGUGUUUUUAAUGUGGUCCAGAUUAUUGCCUGUUAUACUUCCGAGUAGGAAAGGAAUUGUUUUAAUUAUCUACCUGGAAUUUACAAAAAAAAAAAAAGGAAAAAAAAGUAUGUGUAAAUUGAAAAAUUAAUUCUUCGAUCCUUCUGUUUGAAAGAGCUUUCUAUUAAUAGAAAAUAUCAAUACAAUCAUUAUUUUAUAAACACAUUAGGGAAAAUUGUAUACGUUUUCUGUGGAAGUAUGAAUUUCAUGUCAUACUGAUCUGACCUAAUCGUUAAGAUUUCUACAUGGAUUACAGGUAAUUAUUCACUGUAGUUACACCUAUACUAUACUAUUCAGUAUAUUCCAGGUCUCCGUUAAAUAUCGCUGAAAGAACUUUGAUAACCAGAUCAAAGUAUGAGUAAAUAUACAUUAAAUAUAAAGUACUUGUAUUUACAAAUCAAUUUUGAAACCUUUCAUCAGACGAUAAUUCACAUGUUUUAAAACCUGAAUCAUGUUUUUGUUAUGAAUUGAGUCUUGUUCAGCUGUAGGCUGUUCCAGGGCCGAUCAUGAUCAGUUUCCAGGCAUGGAUACAUAUCCAACUGAUGAAAACCAACUGAAUAUAUUUUGUUUACUUUUGUGGCAACUUUUGGCAAAAACAUAUGUCUGUGUAAGAUUACAUAUCUUUAAAUAUAUUUGCCAGUCCCGGGAUUGACUGGUAAGUUUCCAUCCUUAAUUAUUUAUUCUAAUCUUUCAAAUACUUUAGUUAAUAGAUAUUUAUGAUUAUCAAGAGAUUUGUGAUUUACUCGCCUUACAUGUGUGACUAACACUGUCACAUUACAUCAGGUCACCAAUGGGCAUAUUAUUAAACAGAUCAAACUUUA